GCCAGACUCCUACGGGAGGCAGCAGUGGGGAAUAUUGCACAAUGGGGGGAACCCUGAUGCAGCGACGCCGCGUGGGUGAAGGAGCACCUCGGUGCGUAAAGCCCUCUCGGCAGGGAAGAAGGAGGACGGUACCUGACUAAGAAGCCCCGGCUAACUACGUGCCAGCAGCCGCGGUAAUACGUAGGGGGCAAGCGUUAUCCGGAUUUACUGGGUGUAAAGGGGGCGCAGACGGCAGCGCAAGCCAGGAGUGAAAGCCCGGGGCCCAACCCCGGGACUGCUCUGGAAACUGCGGCGCUGGAGUACGGGAGGGGCAGGCGGAAUUCCUGGUGUAGCGAUGAAAUGCGUAGAUAUCAGGAGGAACACCGGCGGCGAAGGCGGCCUGCUGGACCGUGACUGACGUUGAGGCUCGAGAGCGUGGGGAGCAAACAGGAUUAGAUACCCCAGUA
rnacentral:rRNA from 1 species